GACGAACGCUGGCGGCGUGCUUAACACAUGCAAGUCGAACGGAAAGGCCCUGCUUUUGUGGGGUGCUCGAGUGGCGAACGGGUGAGUAACACGUGAGUAACCUGCCCUUGACUUUGGGAUAACUUCAGGAAACUGGGGCUAAUACCGGAUAGGAGCUCCUGCUGCAUGGUGGGGGUUGGAAAGUUUCGGCGGUUUGGGAUGGACUCGCGGCUUAUCAGCUUGUUGGUGGGGUAGUGGCUUACCAAGGCUUUGACGGGUAGCCGGCCUGAGAGGGUGACCGGCCACAUGGGGACUGAGAUACGGCCCAGACUCCUACGGGAGGCAGCAGUGGGGAAUAUUGCACAAUGGGCGGAAGCCUGAUGCAGCAACGCCGCGUGCGGGAUGACGGCCUUCGGGUUGUAAACCGCUUUCGCCUGUGACGAAGCGUGUGUGACGGUAAUGGGUAAAGAAGCACCGGCUAACUACGUG
rnacentral:rRNA from 1 species